rnacentral:rRNA from 1 species
GUAGGUGGCAAGCGUUGUCCGGGAAUUAUUGGGGCGUAAAGCGCGCGCAGGCGGCUCUUUAAGUCUGAUGUGAAAGCCCACGGGCUCAACCGUGGAGGGUCAUUGGAAACUGGAGAAUUGAGUACAGAAGAGGAAAGCGGAAUUCCACGUGUAGCGGUGAAAUGCGUAGAGAUGUGGAGGAACACCAGUGGCGAAGGCGGCUUUCUGGUCUGUAACUGACGCUGAGGCGCGAAAGCGUGGGGAGCAAACAGGAUUAGAUACCCUGGUAGUCCACGCCGUAAACGAUGAGUGCUAAGUGUUAGGGGGUUUCCGCCCCUUAGUGCUGCAGCUAACGCAUUAAGCACUCCGCCUGGGGAGUACGGCCGCAAAGGCUG